UUGGAGGGCAAGUCUGGUGCCAGCAGCCGCGGUAAUUCCAGCCCCAAUAGCGUAUAUUAAAGUUGUUGCAGUUAAAAGCUCGUAGUUGAAUUUCGGGAUCAAUUUGCUGGUCGUGCCUCUGGUACGUACUGGUAUUAUUGGUUUCUCCCUUCUGACGAACCAUGAUGUCAUUAAUUUGAUGUCGUGGAGAAUCAGGACUGUUACUUCGAAAAAAUUAGAGUGUUUAAAGCAGGCAUUAGCUUGAAUACAUUAGCAUGGAAUAAUGAAAUAGGACGUUUGAUCCUAUUUUGUUGGUUUCUAGGAUUAACGUAAUGAUUAAUAGGGAUAGUUGGGGGCAUUAGUAUUCAAUUGUCAGAGGUGAAAUUCUUGGAUUUAUUGAAGACUAACUACUGCGAAAGCAUUUGCCAAGGAUGUUUUCAUUAAUCAAGAGCGAAAGUUAGGGGAUCGAAGACGAUCAGAUACCGUCGUAGUCUUAACCAUAAACUAUGCCGACUAGGGAUCGGACGAUGUUAAAUUUUAUUGACUCGUUCGGCGCCUUACGGGAAAC
rnacentral:rRNA from 1 species